rnacentral:tRNA from 1 species
GCCGGGAUGGAGGAAUCGGCAGACUCGGAUGCCUCAAAAGCAUCUGCCCGAAAGGGCGUGCGGGUUCAAGUCCCGCUCCCGGCACCA